rnacentral:rRNA from 1 species
AUUGAACGCUGGCGGCGUGCUUAACACAUGCAAGUCGAACGCGAAAGGGACUUCGGUCCUGAGUAAAGUGGCGCANGGGUGAGUAACGCGUGGAUAAUCUGCCCUUAUGAUUGGAAUAACAGUUGGAAACGGCUGCUAAUACCGGAUACGCUCAAAAUGAACUUUUUGAGGAAAGAUGGCCUCUGCUUGCAUGCUAUCGCAUAAGGAUGAGUCCGCGUCCCAUUAGCUUGUUGGCGGGGUAACGGCCCACCAAGGCAACGAUGGGUAGCCGAUUUGAGAGGAUGAUCGGCCACACUGGAACUGAAACACGGUCCAGACUCCUACGGGAGGCAGCAGUGGGGAAUAUUGCGCAAUGGGCGAAAGCCUGACGCAGCGAC